UCCUACGGGAGGCAGCAGUAGGGAAUCUUCCGCAAUGGACGAAAGUCUGACGGAGCAACGCCGCGUGAGUGAUGAAGGCUUUCGGGUCGUAAAACUCUGUUGUUAGGGAAGAACAAGUGCUAGUUGAAUAAGCUGGCACCUUGACGGUACCUAACCAGAAAGCCACGGCUAACUACGUGCCAGCAGCCGCGGUAAUACGUAGGUGGCAAGCGUUAUCCGGAAUUAUUGGGCGUAAAGCGCGCGCAGGUGGUUUCUUAAGUCUGAUGUGAAAGCCCACGGCUCAACCGUGGAGGGUCAUUGGAAACUGGGAGACUUGAGUGCAGAAGAGGAAAGUGGAAUUCCAUGUGUAGCGGCGAAAUGCGUAGAGAUAUGGAGGAACACCAGUGGCGAAGGCGACUUUCUGGUCUGUAACUGACACUGAGGCGCGAAAGCGUGGGGAGCAAACAGGAUUAGAUACCCUGGUAGUCCACGCCGUAAACGAUGUCUACUUGGAGGUUGUGGCCUUGAGCCGUGGCUUUCGGAGCUAACGCGUUAAGUAGACCGCCUGGGGAGUACGGUCGCAAGAUUAAAACUCAAAUGAAUUGACGGA
rnacentral:rRNA from 1 species